GGACGUGAGGGCGAUCUGGCUGCGACAUCUGUCACCCCAUUGAUCGCCAGGGUUGAUUCGGCUGAUCUGGCUGGCUAGGCGGGUGUCCCCUUCCUCCCUCACCGCUCCAUGUGCGUCCCUCCCGAAGCUGCGCGCUCGGUCGAAGAGGACGGCCUUCCCCGAAUAGAGACGGACCGGUCUUCGGUCGAGGGUAUACGAGUAGCUGCGCUCCCCUGCUAGAACCUCCAAACAAGCUCUCAAGGAUAACGAUGGGAUACUGUGGUGUCUGCAAAUUGAGGGUGUGGGCAUGACAUGUGCACAUGUGUGUGCCACGAAUCUGU
ensembl:misc_RNA 7SK 7SK RNA